rnacentral:lncRNA from 7 species
CACACAGGAAAGUGUCCAGGUGGGUUUUGAAUAUCUCAAGAGAAGGAGACUCAAUGACCUCUCUGGGCAGCCUGUUGCAGUGAUCUUUCACCCCCAAAAGAAAGAAGUUCUUAAACAUCUUCCUGGUGUUAGUGGACCUUCUUGUGUACAGUUUGUCCUUGUUGCCCCUUGUUCCAUUGUUACACACCACUGAAAAGAGCCUGGCCUCAUCCACUUGACUCCCACACUUUAGAUAUUUAUAAACAGAGAUGAAAUCUUCCCCUCAGUCAUCUCCUCCCCAGGCUGAACAGCCCCAGGUCUUUCAUCCUUUCCUCAGAAAAGAGACGUUCCAGGUUUCUCACCCUGUUUGUGGCCUUCCACUGGAUUCCAUCUAGGAGAUCACUGUCUUUUUUGAACUGAAGAGCCCAGAACUGGACACAGUACUCCUGUUGUGGCCUCACCAGAGCACAGUAGAGGGGGAAGAUUGCCUCCCUCGGAUUGCUGGCCAUGCUCUUCGUGAUGAACCCUAGGAUAACACUCGCCUUUUUGGCCACAAGGACACUAAUAGGCAUUGAAACCAGAACCCACCCAUGUCAGAGACAAGCCUUGGGCAUACUGAGAUAUUAUGUACACCUUCCUGCUUUACAUGUCCUGCCUGGCAAUUGAGUGGUUCUCCCACAUGAAGAGGACAACAGUGAACAGUUAAGCAGUGAAAUCCAUCAGGGCAGGAGCAAAAUAUUUUGGGUGCAUCAUGGUGCUGAUUUAAUGAUGUGGAUGCUGGAGGUGCUUCUUUUCAAGCUCAUCUUUUCUGCGUUGGAAACUGAAAUACUUGCUUCAGAGUUAAAUAGUUGGAGCGUGAUCCUGAUGCUACAAAAGCCAAAACCAAACUUUCUGCUUUUUUUAAAGAGCCAGAUCUACCUUUAUGCUCUCUACAGUGUUUCUGGAUAUUGAUAACUUUCAUAGCAGAAACAUUAGGAACAAGUACAUCCAUACUGGGAGUGUCUUUUCUUCUGGACAUCUCUCCUACAACUCAGAUGUGUUAUGUUGGGAACCUCAACCUUGAGAAUCCAAAGAUAGAGUUGUACAAAAUCUGUAGAAACUUGGGAAAACAUCAAUGUUAGCCUCUGUCACUGUGAAGUGCAUGUAACUCUCAUUUGAGUAUUUUUGCUUCUUACUGUAUGCUGUGUGUAUCCUAAUAUUUGUCUUGCAUUACAAAUAAACAGAGAACACAUUUGU